rnacentral:rRNA from 1 species
GACGAACGCUGGCGGCGUGCUUAACACAUGCAAGUCGAGCGGAAAGGCCCUGCUUUUGUGGGGUGCUCGAGUGGCGAACGGGUGAGUAACACGUGAGUAACCUGCCCUUGACUUUGGGAUAACUUUAGGAAACUGGGGCUAAUACCGGAUAGGAGCUCCUGCUGCAUGGUGGGGGUUGGAAAGUUUCGGCGGUUGGGGAUGGACUCGCGGCUUAUCAGCUUGUUGGUGGGGUAGUGGCUUACCAAGGCUUUGACGGGUAGCCGGCCUGAGAGGGUGACCGGCCACAUUGGGACUGAGAUACGGCCCAGACUCCUACGGGAGGCAGCAGUGGGGAAUAUUGCACAAUGGGCGGAAGCCUGAUGCAGCAACUCCGCGUGCGGGAUGACGGCCUUCGGGUUGUAAACCGCUUUCGCCUGUGACGAAGCGUGAGUGACGGUAAUGGGUAAAGAAGCACCGGCUAACUACGUG